rnacentral:rRNA from 1 species
GAUGAACGCUGGCGGCGUGCCUAACACAUGCAAGUCGAGCGAUCUUCUUCGGAAGAGAGCGGCGGACGGGUGAGUAACGCGUGGGUAACCUGCCCUGUACACACGGAUAACAUACCGAAAGGUAUGCUAAUACGGGAUAAUAUGCUCUUAUCGCAUGGUAGAAGUAUCAAAGCUCCGGCGGUACAGGAUGGACCCGCGUCUGAUUAGCUAGUUGGUAAGGUAACGGCUUACCAAGGCGACGAUCAGUAGCCGACCUGAGAGGGUGAUCGGCCACAUUGGAACUGAUACACGGUCCAAACUCCAACGGGAGGCAGCAGUGGGGAAUAUUGCACAAUGGGCGGAAGCCUGAUGCAGCAACGCCGCGUGAGCGAUGAAGGCCUUCGGGUCGUAAAGCUCUGUCCUCAAGGAAGAUAAUGACGGUACUUGAGGAGGAAGCCCCGGCUAACUACGUGCCAGCCGCCGCAGUAA